rnacentral:lncRNA from 1 species
AAAAAAUUAAAAAUAAAUUUAAUAGCCCACCCCAAAAUACGGUGCUAGCUUCCCCACUAAUUAGAGGCUAACAACAUUAAAAAUCUCAACAAUCUUGGCUUAUAGUAAUAAUCUAAUAUUUUUAUCUCUAACAAAUGGGUAAUCUCAGAUAAUAGCCAAUGAGAGAUAAAAUAAAAAUCGAGACUAGUAAGAAUGUAGAGGGCGAUACCAGAAACUUACUCUCCAGAUUUGGGAGUAAACGGAGUUAAGUUUACCUUCCGAUCGUCCAAUCAAAGAUCAAAACCCUUACCUCCAAAUUCGAGUAAUCGGCCACUGUAUUCUUUUUCUCUCACAUCUUUUGUACAUUUUUAAGGCUGCCACUUCACUUAUUUACUUUUUCUUUUAUUGCCACGUGAUUUUGAAAGCCAAAUUUAAUGGUAAUUUUCAAUUAGUCAUAACAUAUUUCCUUUAAUUAUUUAAACAUCCAAACUAAUGGAAACCUUGAGUUGGGCCACCCAAAUGAAAUUGAUCUAACAAAUCUUCCCCACCAGAUUAUGUGAGGGACACCGCCAAGCCCGUUCUCUGCUUACAUUCUUUCAAGUUUCAACUUUUCCUUGGGCAAUGACUUUGUCAUCAUAUCCGACCUAUUCUUCAUGAAUCUUCUCAGGUUGUAAUUAUUUCUUUUAAUGCACAUCUUGUUCCCAAUGAUAUCUUACAUCAAUAUACUAGGAUUUCGAAUGGUAUGUUGAAUUCAUUGCCAAGUGAAAGCACUUUGACUAUUACAGUACACAACAUAAUUGUCUUUUUUCACAUCUAGCUUUUGUAAGAAAUUCUUCACCACAAGAUUUCAAAGAAACCUUCAGUAAUUGCAUUAAAUAAAUAAAGGAAAGCAAACAAAUACUUCACUUUUGAUGAAACUUUCAAAUAUCAUUCUUUAUGACUUUAAGCUACAUUUACCAUGCAAAAUUGGACUGGACUUAUUAUUAUAAUAAGACUGGAUUAGAUUAAAUUGGAUUAAGCUAGUUUGUAAUAUAUUGUCUUAUAUUUGGUGUAGUACCAGAUUGUACUAUGUUAAAUUAUAUUUAAAUAAUAUUAAAUAGCAUUUAAGUUGAUAUUUGAAUAUGAAUAUCAAUUAUUCAUGAAAUUUUAUAAUAAUAAGUAAAUAAAUUUAAAGAGCAAUUAAUAAGAAAAUUAAGCAUAUUGUAAAUAAGUUAUUAGGUAGUCAUAAUAUAAUAAACAAAUAAAAAAGAAAUAAAAAUUUAA